rnacentral:tmRNA from 1 species
GGGGAUGACUGGCUUCGACAGGUGUCGGUCGAUCCCGGGAGCGCGAGCCGAGUACGCCUGGUCACCUCGUAAAACUGCCCUGGCAACCUUCUAGGUGCCGAAGACAACUUCGCCCUGGCGGCCUAACUAGCCCGCCUGUCCGCCCUCACUUGCCUGGAGUGAGGGGUCGGGCAUCGCAUCCAGGCUCCACCUGACCGUCGCCGCCACCGGCGUCCGGGGACACCUUUGUGGCGUACGGCUGCCACGCGGUUCGGUCCGAGGCCCGGCAGCCCGACAAUCCAUCGGAACCUACGCUCGUAGGGCUUUCGGAGUCGAGGCAUCUGGACCCGGGUUCGACUCCCGGCAUCUCCACCG